AGAGUUUGAUCCUGGCUCAGGAUGAACGCUAGCGGCGUGCCUAAUGCAUGCAAGUCGAACGGGAUCCUUUGGACUCGUCUGAAGGUGACAGUGGCGAACGGGUGAGUAACACGUUGGUGACCUGCCCCAGAGAGGGGGAUAACUAUUGGAAACGAUAGCUAAUACCUCGGAUGUCAUUGCGGUUAGAGAGCAAUGACUAAAGCUCCGGCGCUCUGGGAGGGGCCUGCUGCCCAUCCGCUACUUGGUAUGGUAAUGGCCUACCCAGGCCAACACGGGUACGGGGCGUGAGAGAGUGACCCCCCAGACUGGUACUGAUGCACGGACCACAUACCUUCGGGUAGCAACAGCAAGGAAUAUUUGCCCAAUGUACGAAAGUCUGAGGCACCUACACCGCCUGGAGGAAGAAGGCCUUCGGGUUGUAAACUCCUUUUUUGGGGGAAGAGAAAGGACGGUACCCCAGCGAAUAAGUCUCGGCUAACUACGUGCCAGCAGCCGCGGUAAAACGUAGGAGGCGAGCGUUAUCCGGAUUUACUGGGCGUAAAGCGCGUGCAGGCGGUUUCUCUAAGUCGGACGUGAAAGCUCUCGGCUCAACUGGGAGAGGUCGUUCGAAACUAGGAAACUUGAGGAUGGUAGAGGAGAGUGGAAUUCCCGGUGUAGUGGUGAAAUGCGUAGAUAUCGGGAGGAACACCAGUGGCGAAGGCGGCUCUCUGGUCCAGUCCUGACGCUAAGACGCGAAAGCUAGGGGAGAGAACGGGAUUAGAAACCCCGGUAUUCCUAGCCGUAAACGAUGUCAACUAGGUGUAGGGGGUAUCCAACCCCCCUGUGCUGUAGCUAACGCGUUAAGUUGACCGCCUGGGGACUACGCCGCAAGGCUGAAACUCAAAGGAAUUGACGGGGACCCGCACAAGCAGCGGAGCGUGUGGUUUAACUCGAAGCUACGCGAAGAACCUUACCAGGGCUUGACAUGGUCGUGGUACGAAAGUGAAAGCCGACGGACCUUUCGAGGAGCGUCACAGGUGUGCACGGCUGUCGUCAGCUCGUGCCGUGAGAUGUUAGGUUAAGUCCUGUACGAGCGCAACCGUCGUCGUUAGUCAUACGUGUCUAACGAGACUGCCGCUGAUAACCCGGAGGAAGUGGUGAUGACGUCAAGUCAGCAUGGCCUUUAUAUCGUGGGUACACACACGCUACAAUGGCCGUACAAUGGGUUGUCAAGCCGCGAGGAGGAGCCAAUCCUCCAAAGCCGGUCUCAUUGGAUUGUAGGAUGCAACUCGCCUACAUGAAGUAGGAGUUGUUAGUAACCGUGCGUCAGCAACAGUGCGGUGAAUACGUUCCCGGGUCUUGUACACACCGCCCGUCACGUCAUGGAAGUUGGCAACGCAUGAAGUCAGUGAGCUAACCCUCACGGGAGGCAACUGCCCAAGGCGGGGUCGGUAACUGGGACGAAGUCGUAACAAGGUAACC
rnacentral:rRNA from 1 species